CCUGUUGCCACAAACCCGUAGAUCCGAACUUGUGUUGAUCGUCCACACAAGCUUGUGUCUAUAGGUAUGUGUCUGGUAGG
rnacentral:pre_miRNA from 2 species